rnacentral:rRNA from 1 species
AAGUAUUAAAGGUCCCGCCUGCCCAGUGAUAUAUUAAACGGCCGCGGUAUUCUAACCGUGCAAAGGUAGCGUAAUCACUUGUCUUCUAAAUAAAGACUAGUAUGAACGGCUAAAUGAGGACAAACCUGUCUCUUAUAACUAAUCAGUGAAACUGAUCCCCCAGUCCAAAAGCUGGGAUUACCCCAUAAGACGAAGAGGACCCUGUGGAGCUUCAAACUAACCACUAACAAGCACAUCAUUCAGCUGUUAAUAGUGUACAGUUUUAAGUUGGGGCGACUUCGGAACAAAACAAAACUUCCAAGCACGGAACCACAGGUUCCAACCAAGGCCCACAGGCCAAAGUUCAUAAACCGACCCAGUAAUACUGAUCAACGAACCAAGUUACCCCAGGGAUAACAGCGCUAUCUUCUUCAAGAGUCCAUAUCGACAAGAAGGUUUACGACCUCGAUGUUGGAUCAGGACACCCAAAUGGUGCAGCCGCUAUUAAAGGUUCGUUUGUUCAACGAUUAACAGUCCUACGUGAUCUGAGUUCAGACCGGAGCAAUCCAGGUCGGU